CCGCGGUAAUCCCAGCUCCAGUAGCGUAUAUUUAAGUUGUUGUAUUUAAAAAGCUCGUCGUUGAAACUUGUGAAGGGUAUUUUUGUGAUGACAAAGCAUAAGUUUUGUUGUUCAAAAUCUUUCACAUAUGCUUGUAUAACUGACCUUUUUGUAAAUGAAAGUUUAUGAAGAGUAAUUCAUUUAUACAUUUUACCAUAAGUAAUUUAGAGUGUUUAAAGCAGGACUUACGUCCAUUGAAUAAUAGAGUAUGGGAUAAUAAAAGAUGAGAGAGGGGAGAUGUAUUCUCUUUCUGGGAUGUCAAAGUUUCAGGGAGGUCUUUCUUUUCUAAUGAUUAAUAGGGACUAUUGGGGCAAUUAGUAUUUCUAGACGAGCGGUGAAAUGCGUAGACUCUAGAAAGACUAACUAAUGCGAAAGCAUUUUGCAAAGGUGUUUUCGUUAAUCAAGAACGAAAGUUUAGGGAUUAAAGAUGAUCAGAUACCGUCGUAAUCUAAACUAUAAACAAUGUCGACAAAAGAUGGGAUUGAAAAUAUAAAUAUAUUUUCAUUUCAAAAUGGUACUAUUAAUGAAGCAAUGUAAGCAAUUAUGUUGUUUCUAAACUGGCCCCUCCCCGAAUUCCGUAAGAAAUUAAGAGUGAUCGGACUUUGGGGGGAGUAUGGUCGCCAGGCUGAAACUUAAAGGAAUUGACGGAAGGGCACCACAAGGUGUGGAACUUGCGGUUUAAUUUGACUCAACACGGGGAAACUCACCAGGUCGACAUGAUAAGGAUUGACAGAUAAAAGAUCUUUCAUGAUUUUAUGGGUGGUGGUGCAUGGCCGAUCUUAGUUCGUGGUAUGAAUUGUCGGCUUAAUUGCGUUAACGAACGAGACCUUUAGAGAUAAAUAGUGGUCUUUGGGAGGUGUAAAACCAUUGGAGGCGUCUCUCGGAGAAGGGCAUGUUCCCCUUCGAGAUGCCAUCGUCUUCAAUGGAUCUUCCAUUGGAUCCUACUUUUGAGAGCAAUCUUGGGAGUAGUUUGAACUUCUUAUUUCGACUAUUGAUGUUCAAUCAAUGUAAGUUAAAGGCAAUAUCAGGUCUGUGAUGCCCUUAGAUGUUCUGGGCCACACGCGUGUUACAAUGGUAAAGAUUAAAGGGUAAUUUUUGUAAGUUUAAAGGGAGUAAAAUUCUUUUAGAUGAGCAAGAUAUGCUUUACAGAAAUGUAUGGCUAAUCCUCUUUCGAAUCUUUUUUACCAUAUCUGGGAUAGAUGCUUGUAAUUUUUCAUCUUCAACUUGGAAUACCUAGUAAGCACAAUUCAACAAAUUGUGUUGAUUACGUCCCUGCCCUUUGUACACACCGCCCGUCGCUCCUACCGAUUGAAUUAUCCGAUGAGUUAUAAGGAAUAGUGGGAAGAAGCAAUUCAACUCGUUGUAAAUUAUAACAAAUCUUAUAAUUUAGAGGAAGGAGAAGUCGUAACAAGGUAACCGUAGGUGAACCUGCGGAAGGAUCA
rnacentral:rRNA from 1 species